CGUGUUUUCGGAUUGAGUUUUGCGGUGCGGGAGCCGGAGUGAGUGUGUCUCGCCGGGUUGGGUGUUCGCUUAGCGGAUGGGUGUGGACCUUCAGCGCUGAGGCUGUCGAGUUGGGAGCCGCCGAAGGCUGCGUGUCGGGCGGACUUCUUGUACCCUCUUUUAGAGGGGAGUUUUUAAAAAUCCCGCUUGUGGGCGAUUGAGGCCCAUUGUGUUAGUACCGCGUCGCAAUCUCCCGGGAACGCCAGACCCACGGAUAGGCCCGUACGAAGCCGAAGGCCUUGGCUUCCGGUAAUCCUACCCUACGAUGGCUAGCGGGGCGGCCACUGUCCUUUACUUUCACUGAAGUUUGACGUGACGGGAACCUCCACUUACUCUCCGACGGUCGGUGCGUAGGGGGCCUACCCAAGCAGCAGACCGGGUUCUGAAGCUCAUGAUGUUCAUAGGCAGAAUCGUCCCACGGCGAUGCUCAAGCCGGACCCAAAUACUAAUAUUGUAAUUAAUAGAGCUGUGUCAUACUUAUGUUGUAAUUAAUAGAGCUGUGUCAUACUUAUAUUGUAAUAAAUAGAGCUGUGUCAGAAUUACGUUGUUUGUAAUGAGGCAAUGUAACGCGAACACUAAAACAUUCUGGGGACACAAACUGUGAACAUAAUUUUGGCCGGUAAUCAAACAGAUGUAUAUAAUAAUUUAAUUUUGGUUUAUUUCUUUCUCGUAAUAAAUGGUUUAAUUUUGUGAUUGAUAAA